rnacentral:rRNA from 1 species
GAUGAACGCUAGCGGCAGGCUUAAUACAUGCAAGUCGAGGGGCAGCAGCUUUAUAGCAAUAUAGAGGCUGGCGACCGGCAAACGGGUGCGGAACACGUACACAACCUCCCUGUAAGAGGGGGAUAGCCCAUGGAAAUGAUGAUUAAUACCCCGUAACAUUGAGGUGUGGCAUCCGACUGGUAUUAUAGUUUCGACGCAUGAAGAUGGGUGUGCGGCGGAUUAGGUGGUUGGCGGGGUAGAGGACCACCAAGCCUUCGAUCAGUAGCUGAUGUGGGAGCAUGAUAAGCCAAACGGGUACUGAGACACGGGCCCGACUCCUACGGGAGGCAGCAGUAAGGAAUAUUGGUCAAUGGAAGCAAGUCUGAACCAGCCAUGCUGCGUGAAGGAUGAAGGUCCUCUGGAUUGUAAACUUCUUUUAUAGGGGGCGAAAAAAGGGAAUUCUUUCUCACUUGACAGUACCCUAUGAAUAAGCACCGGCUAACUCCGUGCCAGCAGCCGCAGUAA